UACGUAGGGUCCGAGCGUUGUCCGGAAUUACUGGGCGUAAGGAGCUCGUAGGUGGUUUGUCGCGUUGUUCGUGAAAACUCACAGCUCAACUGUGGGCGUGCGGGCGAUACGGGCAGACUGGAGUACUGCAGGGGAGACUGGAAUUCCUGGUGUAGCGGUGGAAUGCGCAGAUAUCAGGAGGAACACCGGUGGCGAAGGCGGGUCUCUGGGCAGUAACUGACGCUGGAGGAGCGAAAAGCCGUGGGGAGCGAACAGG
rnacentral:rRNA from 1 species